UGCCCAGCAACUCCUAUCGCUACCUCCUCGUGGUACUGGCCGGGGUACGAGUAACCUUGGGGAAGAUCGGGUAACCAACCCCCGGUGGGAACUUUGGUCGUAUGCUGACAGGGAAGG
rfam:Aedes aegypti strain Liverpool supercont1.1566 genomic scaffold, whole genome shotgun sequence.